rnacentral:rRNA from 30 species
UUGACCUCGGAUCAGGUAGGGAUACCCGCUGAACUUAAGCAUAUCAAUAAGCGGAGGAAA